rnacentral:rRNA from 1 species
AUUGAACGCUGGCGGCAGGCCUAACACAUGCAAGUCGAGCGGAUGAAGGGAGCUUGCUCCUGGAUUCAGCGGCGGACGGGUGAGUAAUGCCUAGGAAUCUGCCUGGUAGUGGGGGAUAACGUCGGGAAACGGGCGCUAAUACCGCAUACGUCCUGAGGGAGAAAGUGGGGGAUCUUCGGACCUCGCGCUGUCGGAUGAGCCUAGGUCGGAUUAGCUAGUUGGUGGGGUAAAGGCCUACCAAGGCGACGAUCCGUAACUGGUCUGAGAGGAUGAUCAGUCACACUGGAACUGAGACACGGUCCAGACUCCUACGGGAGGCAGCAGUGGGGAAUAUUGGACAAUGGGCGAAAGCCUGAUCCAGCAAUGCCGCGUGUGUGAAGAAGGUCUUCGGAUUGUAAAGCACUUUAAGUUGGGAGGAAGGGCAGUAAGUUAAUACCUUGCUGUUUUGACGUUACCAACAGAAUAAGCACCGGCUAACUUCGUG